GAUGAACGCUAGCUACAGGCUUAACACAUGCAAGUCGAGGGGCAGCAUGGUCUUAGCUUGCUAAGGCCGAUGGCGACCGGCGCACGGGUGAGUAACACGUAUCCAACCUGCCUCAUACUCGGGGAUAGCCUUUCGAAAGAAGAUUAAUAUCCGAUAGCAUAUAUUUCCCGCAUGGGUUUUAUAUUAAAGAAAUUCGGUAUGAGAUGGGGAUGCGUUCCAUUAGUUUGUUGGCGGGGUAACGGCCCACCAAGACUACGAUGGAUAGGGGUUCUGAGAGGAAGGUCCCCCACAUUGGAACUGAGACACGGUCCAAACUCCUACGGGAGGCAGCAGUGAGGAAUAUUGGUCAAUGGACGCGAGUCUGAACCAGCCAAGUAGCGUGAAGGAUGACUGCCCUAUGGGUUGUAAACUUCUUUAUAUGGGAAUAAAGUGGUCCACGU
rnacentral:rRNA from 1 species